AGGCUCAGGCACACAAACAACCCGCCUUGGGUAGGAAGGCACCUCGCAUGAACUGGGCACCAACACCUCUCUGUAACUGUGCUUUUUCCCCCCAGACAAACUCACAGUAACGCAGAUUCUGGUACAAUUUUUCCGUCGGGGCUUGCAGCUUUGCUGAGAUACCUGCUUUCUUACGGAGGGUAGUGGCAGGCAGAUGGACAGCUACUCUGCUCCGGCUGAUGCACGUGCUGGGUGAAUGACAAAUCCCAGGAAAAACACUCUCAAGCUGAAGGCAACCUCAGAAGGUGGUCAGAGCACUUCUGUUUGGUGCAGCUCUCUGCCUGCAAAGUCUGAAGGUGGAGGUGGGGAGCAGAAGUGAGCCAGCGAUCAUGUUCUUGGCCACGUAGGACAGACUCACAGCCUGAGUACUAGAGCAGCAGC